GAGAGGUGUUUAGAACAC
rnacentral:tRNA from 1 species